AACUAGGGAAGUGAUGAUCCUUCCUCUCAAGGACGCACAGAACAGAGUAGUGUAAACCAGCCGUCUCAGAGCAUGUUGACUCCGACUGAUUCGAAUAUGAUGGUUGUUAGGGAACAAACGCCGUCGGAAGCGCUUGCAAUAGUCCCGAUCCAGUUUUUUGUGCCGGCAUCCCAAC